CCUCAUACUUCCUCAUUGACCAAUAUACCACAAAACACUACAAUGUUGGCCUCUUUACCACUAUCAAGACACUUCUCCCAGUCCAUUUUGUCUGUUGAGCAUCAGGACAUUAAUAAGUGUGGAGUGCCUUGCUCUACAUCAUCCUCUGUAAACAGUCUGGGGUUGCAGUUUUAUGUGGUAUGUUGGCAAUGUAGGAAGUCUGAAUCGUA
rnacentral:pre_miRNA from 1 species